rnacentral:rRNA from 1 species
UUGGAGGGCAAAUCUGGUGCCAGCAGCCGCGGUAAUUCCAGCUCCAAUAGCGUAUACUAAAGUUGUUGCAGUUAAAAAGCUCGUAGUUGAAUUUCGGGGUUAGUAGGUUGGUCGUGCCUCAGGUAUGUACUGAUCUCACUGAUUCCUCCUUCCUGAUGAACCGUAAUGCCAUUAAUUUGGUGUUGCGGGGAAACUGGACUGUUACUUUGAAAAAAUUAGAGUGUUUAAAGCAGGCUAACGCUUGAAUACAUUAGCAUGGAAUAAUGAAAUAGGACGUUCGAUCCUAUUUUGUUGGUUUCUAGGAUUGACGUAAUGAUUAAUAGGGAUAGUUGGGGGCAUUAGUAUUCAAUUGUCAGAGGUGAAAUUCUUGGAUUUAUUGAAGACUAACUACUGCGAAAGCAUUUGCCAAGGAUGUUUUCAUUAAUCAAGAACGAAAGUUAGGGGAUCGAAGACGAUCAGAUACCGUCGUAGUCUUAACCAUAAACUAUGCCGACUAGGGAUCGGAUGAUGUUAAUUUUUUAAUGACUCAUUCGGCGCCUUACGGGAAA